rnacentral:rRNA from 1 species
UACGUAGGGUGCAAGCGUUAAUCGGAAUUACGUGGGACGUAAAGCGUGCGCAGGCGGUCUUGCAAGACAGAGUGUGAAAUCCCCGGGCUUAACCUGGGAACUGCGCUUGUAACUAGCGGGCUAGAGUGCGGCAGAGGGGGGUGGAAUUCCACGGUGUAGCAGUGAAAUGCGUAGAUAUGUGGAGGAACACCGAUGGCGAAGGCAGCCCCCUGGGUCGACACUGACGCUCAUGCACAAAAGCGUGGGGAGCAAACAGG